UUAGGAGCGUUCUCAACGCAUCGAAGCUGGAUGGCGACUGAAAGUGGAGUGUUGAGAAGUGAGGAUGCAGACAUAAGUAACGACAAGGGUGGUGAAAUCCCACCCCGCCGUAAAUCCAAGGUUUCCUGUCAGCGAUUUUCGUCCCAGGGUUAGUCGGGACCUAAGCCGAUGCCGUCUGGCGCAGGCGAUGGAAAGCAGGUUAAUAUUCCUGCACCGACUUUGGUUAAGUCAUGUUAGACCACGGAGAAGGAGAAAACAGACCUUAUUGACUUGGCAGGAAGGGCUUCGGCCUGACCGCGUUUUCAAAUGAUCCGUCUAGAAAAGCUUCAUGAUGUUCCCAAGGUCGCCCGUACUAGAAACCGACUCAGGUGGAUGGGUAGAAUAUACCAAGGCGCAAGAGUGAAACCUCGUUAAGGAACUCUGCAAUCUAGUCCCGUAACUUCGGAAGAAGGGAUGCCCUAAUUUAUUAGGGUCGCAGUGAAAGGGGUCAACCGACUGUUUAUCAAAAACACAGCAUUGUGCGAAGACAAAAGUCUAUGUAUACGAUGUGACACGUGACCAAUGCGGAAAGAUUAAGGCAAGAUGUUAGCCGCAAGGCGAAGCUUUGAACCCAAGUCCCCGUGAAUGACGGCCGUAACGAUAACGGUCCUAAGGUAGCGAAAUUCCUUGUCGGGUAAGUUCCGACCUGCACGAAUCGUGUAACGAGUUGACCGCUGUCUCAACGAGGGGCUCAGUGAAUUUGUAGUGGCGGUGUAGAUACCGCCUACCCGCGGAAGGACGGAAAGACCCUAUGCACCUUAACUGUAAGCUGUCACUGAUUCGCUGAUUUCAAUGCUCAGAGUAAGUGGGAGGCUGUGAAGCCAGGCUUUCGGGCCCGGCAGAGCCAAAAGUGAGACACCACCCUUUGGUAUUGGCAGUCUAAUUGUAACCCCUUAAAGGGCAUGAGACCAUGGCAGCCGGUCAGUUUUACUGGGGCGGUAUCCUCCCAAAGAGUAACUGAGGAGCGCGAAGGUGUGCUCAGCACGGUUUGCAAUCGUGUGUUGAGUGUAUUGGCAUAAGCACGCCUAACUGUGAGACCUACAAGUCGAGCAGAUACGAAAGUAGGCCAAAGUGAUCCGGCGGUUUAAUGUGGAAUUGCCGUCGCUUAACGGACAAAAGGUACGCUAGGGAUAACAGGCUGAUUUGACCCAAGAGUUCAUAUCGACGGUCAAGUUUGGCACCUCGAUGUCGGCUCGUCGCAUCCUGGGGCUGGAGAAGGUCCCAAGGGUCCGGCUGUUCGCCGGUUAAAGCGGCACGCGAGCUGGGUUCAGAACGUCGCGAGACAGUUCGGUCCUCUAUCCUCCGUGGGCGUUGGAGAAUUGAGGGGUUUACUUCCUAGUACGAGAGGACCGGAAGUAACGUACCUCUGGUGUUCCAGUUGUCACGUCAGUGGCACAGCUGGGCAGCUAUGUACGGAAGGGAUAAGCGCUGAAAGCAUCUAAGCGCCAAGCCCAUCCCAAGAUGAGUUCUCCCUGAAGGAUCGUGGAAGACUACCACGUUGAUAGGGUGUGGGUGCAAGUCGAGUAAUCGAUUCAGCUCAACACUACUAAUCAUCCGAUCG
rnacentral:rRNA from 1 species